GUCACCAAGCUGGGCCGCCUGGUGGAGGACAUGAAGUCCCUGGAGGAGAUCUAUGUAUUCCCCUGCCCAUUAAGGAAUCUGAGAUCAUUGACUUUUUCCUAGGGGCCUCUCUCAAGGACGAGGUUUUGAAGAUUAUACCCGUCCAGAAGCAGACCCAUGCCGGCCAGCGCACCAGGUUCAAGGCAUUUGUUGCCAUCGGGGACUACAAUGGACACAGCGGUCUGGGUGUUAAGUGCUCCAAGGAGGUGGCCACUGCCAUCCGCGGGGCCAUCAUCCUGGCCAAGCUCUCCAUCGUCCCCAUGCGCAGAGGCUGCUGGGGGAACAAGAUUGGCAAGUCCCACACCGUCCCUUGCAAGGUGACAGGCCGCUGCGGCUCCGUGCUGGUGCACCUCAUCUCUGCACCCACGGGCACUGGCAUCGUCUCGGCGCUUGUGCUCAAGAAGCUGCUCAUGAUGGCUGGUAUAGAUGACUGCUACACCUCAGCCCGGGGCUGCACUGCCACCCUGGGCAACUUUGCCAAGGCCACCUUUGAUGCCAUCUCUAAGACCUACAGCUACCUGACCCCCGACCUCUGGAAGGAGACUGUGUUCACUAAGUCUCCCUAUCAGGAAUUCACUGACCACCUCGUCACGACCCACACCAGAGUCUCGCUGCAACCAAGCUGUGGCUACAACAUAGGGUUUUUAUACAAGAAAAAUAAAGUGAAUUAAGC